rnacentral:rRNA from 1 species
CGAAGCGUGCGAUUGGAUUGCACGUCUAAGCAGUAAGGCUGAGUAUUAGGCAAAUCCGGUACUCGUUAAGGCUGAGCUGUGAUGGGGAGAAGACAUUGUGUCUUCGAGUCGUUGAUUUCACACUGCCGAGAAAAGCCUCUAGAUAGAAAAUAGGUGCCCGUACCGCAAACCGACACAGGUAGUCAAGAUGAGAAUUCUAAGGUGAGCGAGCGAACUCUCGUUAAGGAACUCGGCAAAAUGACCCCGUAACUUCGGGAGAAGGGGUGCUCUUUAGGGUUAACGCCCAGAAGAGCCGCAGUGAAUAGGCCCAAGCGACUGUUUAUCAAAAACACAGGUCUCUGCUAAACCGUAAGGUGAUGUAUAGGGGCUGACGCCUGCCCGGUGCUGGAAGGUUAAGAGGAGUGGUUAGCUUCUGCGAAGCUACGAAUCGAAGCCCCAGUAAACGGCGGCCGUAACUAUAACGGUCCUAAGGUAGCGAAAUUCCUUGUCGGGUAAGUUCCGACCCGCACGAAAGGCGUAACGAUUUGGGCACUGUCUCAACGAGAGACUCGGUGAAAUCAUAGUACCUGUGAAGAUGCAGGUUACCCGCGACAGGACGGAAAGACCCCGUGGAGCUUUACUGUAGCCUGAUAUUGAAAUUCGGCACAGCUUGUACAGGAUAGGUAGGAGCCUUUGAAACGUGAGCGCUAGCUUACGUGGAGGCGCUGGUGGGAUACUACCCUAGCUGUGUUGGCUUUCUAACCCGCACCACUUAUCGUGGUGGGAGACAGUGUCAGGCGGGCAGUUUGACUGGGGCGGUCGCCUCCUAAAAGGUAACGGAGGCGCUCAAAGGUUCCCUCAGAAUGGUUGGAAAUCAUUCAUAGAGUGUAAAGGCAUAAGGGAGCUUGACUGCGAGACCUACAAGUCGAGCAGGGUCGAAAGACGGACUUAGUGAUCCGGUGGUUCCGCAUGGAAGGGCCAUCGCUCAACGGAUAAAAGCUACCCCGGGGAUAACAGGCUUAUCUCCCCCAAGAGUUCACAUCGACGGGGAGGUUUGGCACCUCGAUGUCGGCUCAUCGCAUCCUGGGGCUGUAGUCGGUCCCAAGGGUUGGGCUGUUCGCCCAUUAAAGCGGUACGCGAGCUGGGUUCAGAACGUCGUGAGACAGUUCGGUCCCUAUCCGUCGUGGGCGUAGGAAAUUUGAGAGGAGCUGUCCUUAGUACGAGAGGACCGGGAUGGACAUACCUCUGGUGUACCAGUUGUCGUGCCAACGGCAUAGCUGGGUAGCUAUGUGUGGACGGGAUAAGUGCUGAAAGCAUCUAAGCAUGAAGCCCCCCUCAAGAUGAGAUUUCCCAACUUCGGUUAUAAGAUCCCUCAAAGAUGAUGAGGUUAAUAGGUUCGAGGUGGAAGCAUGGUGACAUGUGGAGCUGACGAAUACUAAUCGAUCGAAGACUUAAUCAAAA